rnacentral:lncRNA from 1 species
GGUUGCGGGGCGUGUGCCGUGCACUGAACCCCUGUGUGGAAGGGGAUUCGGUCCUGGGGGGCGUGGAUGGUGGAUGGCGGUUGCGGGGCCUGUGCCGUGCACUGAACCCCUAUGUGGAAGGGGAUUCGGUCCUGGGGGCCGUGGAUGGCGGUUGCGGGGCCUCUGUGCUCAGGGCAGUCCCUCCAAAGGCACAGAUGGGGUUUCUGAACAGGACGUGGGGAGACAGGCAGGUGCUCACAAAUGCUGCUUCCCCCAACUGGCAACCAGUGAGAAAAACGCCUGAGUGGAGGUCUGACCUGCCCCAGUCUGGAGGACUGAUGCUCUCUGGAAAGCCAAAUGGGAACAGGCAGGCAGGAG